rnacentral:rRNA from 1 species
UCNUANGNGGCAGCAGUGAGGAAUAUUGGNCAAUGGGNGAGAGCNUGAUCCAGCCAUNNGNGCAGGAAGAGUGCCUUAUGGGUUGUAAACUGCUUUUGUACGGGAAGAAACCCCUUUACGUGUAGAGGAUUGACGGUACCGUACGAAUAAGGAUCGGCUAACUCCGUGCCAGCAGCCGCGGUAAUACGGAGGAUCCGAGCGUUAUCCGGAAUCAUUGGGUUUAAAGGGUCCGUAGGCGGAUAGUUAAGUCAGCGGUGAAAGUCUGCAGCUCAACUGUAGAAUUGCCGUUGAUACUGGUUAUCUUGAAUCAAAUUGAAGUGGCUGGAAUAUGUGGUGUAGCGGUGAAAUGCAUAGAUAUCACAUGGAACACCUAUUGCGAAGGCAAGUCACUAAAUCUGCAUUGACGCUGAUGGACGAAAGCGUGGGGAGCAAACAGGAUUAGAUACCCUGGUAGUCCACGCCGUAAACGAUGGAUACUAGUUGUUCGUGCCAUUGGCANUNUGAGUGACUAAGCGAAAGNGAUAAGU